GACGAGGGGUCCUAGCGUUGUUCGGAAUCACUGGGCGUAAAGCGUAUGUAGGCGGCCUAUCAAGUCAGGUGUGAAAUCCUGUGGCUUAACCAUAGAACUGCAUUUGAAACUGAUGGGCUUGAGUAUUGGAGAGGGCGGUAGAAUUCCUGGUGUAGUGGUGAAAUACGUAGAUAUCAGGAGGAAUUCCGGUGGCGAAGGCGGCCGCCUGGCCAAAUACUGACGCUGAGAUACGAAAGCGUGGGGAUCAAACAGG
rnacentral:rRNA from 1 species